GACGAACGCUGGCGGCGUGCUUAACACAUGCAAGUCGAACGGAAAGGCCCUGCUUUUGUGGGGUGCUCGAGUGGCGAACGGGUGAGUAACACGUGAGUAACCUGCCCUUGACUUUGGGAUAACUUCAGGAAACUGGGGCUAAUACCGGAUAGGAGCUCCUGCUGCAUGGUGUGGGUUGGAAAGUUUCGGCGGUUGGGGAUGGACUCGCGGCUUAUCAGCUUGUUGGUGGGGUAGUGGCUUACCAAGGCGUUGACGGGUAGCCGGCCUGAGAGGGUGACCGGCCACAUUGGGACUGAGAUACGGCCCAGACUCCUACGGGAGGCAGCAGUGGGGAAUAUUGCACAAUGGGCGGAAGCCUGAUGCAGCAACGCCGCGUGCGGGAUGACGGCCUUCGGGUUGUAAACCGCUUUCGCCUGUGACGAAGCGUGAGUGACGGUAAUGGGUAAAGAAGCACCGGCUAACUACGUG
rnacentral:rRNA from 1 species